AUCGUUAUGGAGUACUGUGGGGCUGGUUCUGUAUCUGAUAUCAUUCGAUUACGAAAUAAAACGUAACAGAAGAUGAAAUAGCUACAAUAUUACAAUCAACUCUUAAGGGACUUGAAUACCUUCAUUUUAUGAGAAAAAUACACCGAGAUAUCAAGGCAGGAAAUAUUUUGCUAAAUACAGAAGGACAUGCAAAACUUGCAGAUUUUGGGGUAGCAGGUCAACUUACAAUACCAUGGCCAAGCGGAAUACAGUGAUAGGAACACCAUUUUGGAUGGCUCCAGAAGUGAUUCAGGAAAUU
rnacentral:lncRNA from 1 species